AACAGUACUUUAAAAACAGCAGAGCGGUCAUGACACAAAUAGAGGAUCUUUGACUGGGGUUUUCGCAGUAGUAGUAUGAGCACUCCUGUUUAUGAAGAAAAGGGUUUAUUGAAUAGCUUUUUUGUAGUAGGUAAUUCAAAACAGAAUAGCAUUUCUGGCAUAAAGUUUCUUCAAAGAGCAGUUUCUUCGAACAGCAGCCUUAAAAAUAAGAACAGUUGUCUCGAAUUGUUCUUUUCGAUUGCCGGCGGCCCACACUCGCCUCCUUUCGGGACGAGGUCUGUUGAAACUCCGCCCCCUCCGUUCCUCCGUGGGAGCUGUCGCUGCAAGUCAAGCAUGUUGGAAGACACAAAAAGGGAAGUGCCGACACAACGGUGGAUAGCUAGCCGGCAACGUCGGCCUUUUUCGGUGGACAAAUAUCGCAUGCUAAUGAACAGACCGGCCAGUGAUUGUUGGAGAACAUUGUCAGGAUGGCAUCACAGGAGGGGGACGGGCCACCUCGCAAUGGGAGCCCGUCGAAUAGUCGCCUCAAAAGCAAGAAGCCGCCCAGUCUUGUCAUAGCCAUACCUAAACCUGAGGAGUUGAUGUCCCAUGACCCAACUAAGCAACCCCUGCGGCCAUCUUUAAAGAAAAGCAUGAGUGGCCAAGCGACUGGUUCCGUGUCAGAGAGUAUUGGCGCAGUCGGAGAUGGAGGCCUCUCAGCAUCAGAGAGAAGGGCAAAAUUUGGAAGACAGACCUCUCUCUCACAAAGCAUCCGAAAAAAUACGGCUCAGUGGUUUGGGGUGGGAGAGGACUGUGAAACCAAGCAGCAGGUUUGGCAGAGGAAGAGCCUCCACCACUGCAGCCUACGAUAUGGCAAGCUGAAGGCCCAAUACAGAGAGCCUGACACGGCCACUAGCAUCGACCAGAACCUGGAAUCACCAGGAGCACAGAAGAUGCCUAAGAUUGUGGACCCACUGGCACGGGGACGUGCUUUCCGUUACCCAGAGGAGAUGGACCCUCGGUCACCCAAGGCGCAGGGGUUUCCUAUCACCCCCGGGGUCACUUCGCUCAGCUCCUUCACCAGCCAGCGCUCAGGCUACAGCCGCUUCCCCAAACGUAAGAGGGAGUCCGUUGCCCGCAUGAGCAUCCGUGCUGCAAAUAACAUACUGAGGGGCCGAAGUGGCUUAGCGGGCUCCCUCACAGGUCGCAGCUUCCCCAGGAGGAGCUUUGUCAGGCCUAGCUGGCUGGAGGAUGAAACUGUGGACUCGGCAGACAUGUCAGAGUCGCUGUUUUUUAGCAAGGUCGAUGUCCACGAUGAGUUGUACUCUAUGGCGGAUGAUGUGUUUGAGUCACCUCCAAUGUCUGCUACUCUUGCCCCAAUUGAUCCACUAGACCAGAAAUUGGCAAGCCUUAAGGACAUAUCUCGAACACCAACAACAGUGCAGGAAAAAAGCCAUUCUCGGCGCGGCCACCGCAUUGCUUCCCAAGUCAAGCACUUUGCUUUUGACAAACACAAGCGUCACUACGGCAUGGGCGUUGUGGGCAAGUGGCUGAACCGGCAUUACCGACGCAGCAUCAGCAGCAAUGUCCAGAAACAGCUGGAUGACUUCCUCAGCCACAGACCGUACUUCACGUACUGGAUCACAUUCGUCCAUAUUGUAAUUACUUUGCUGGCCUGCUGCACUUACGGUUUUGCCCCUGUGGGGUUUGCACAACAUUCAAAAACUGAGCUGGUGCUGAAGAAUAAAGGCAUCUAUGAGAGCGUCAAGUAUGUCCAACAGCAGAACUUUUGGAUUGGUCCAAGAUCUGACGACCUGAUCCACCUGGGAGCCAAAUUCUCUCCGUGCAUCCGUCAGGACAGACAGAUAGUCCACCUGAUCCAGAAAGCCAAAGAGCUGGAGAAGGAGUCCGGAUGUUGUGUCCAGAAUGACAACUCUGGAUGUGUGCAGACCUUCAGCUCGGACUGCUCUGAGACACUGGGUACCUUCAUCAAAUGGAACAAUGAGCCUGUGGACAUGAACAGGUCCUCUGGCUCUGUCUGUCAUCAGGAUCCCAGAAUAUGUGAAGAGCCUGCAUCAACAGCGCCUCACACAUGGCCAGAUGACAUCACUCAGUGGCCGGUGUGUACAUUGCCCAAGAAAUGGAACCACACAGGCUACAGACACAUGGACUGUAACAUCAAGGGGCGACCUUGCUGCAUCGGCACUAAAGGAAGAUGUGAGAUCACAACCAGGGAGUAUUGCUCUUUUAUGCAUGGAUACUUCCAUGAGGAUGCCACACUCUGCUCACAGGUUCAUUGUCUGGAUGAUGUAUGUGGCUUGCUUCCUUUCCUAAAUCCUGAUGUCCCUGAUCAGUUCUACCGUUUCUGGCUCUCCCUGUUCCUUCAUGCUGGGUUACUGCACUGCGUGGUGUCAGUGGUGUUUCAGAUGACCAUACUGAGGGACCUAGAGAAGCUGGCUGGUUGGGUCCGCAUCUCCAUCAUUUACAUUUUCAGUGGGAUCACUGGAAACCUCGCCUCUGCCCUCUUUCUGCCCUACAGAGCUGAGGCCAGAGUUUGCCCAGGGCUGCCGGUUGAACAGUCCUGUGCUACAUCUUGUCUGAAGAUGUACAUUUUUUUUCAACAUGGUAAGAUAUGAAUGUUCUCAGAACAAAACCAAAUGCUCUUUCUGAAAGCAUCUUUAACACUGACAAGCUACAAAAUAAAUCCUUUAUUGUCUUAAGAACCAAACCAUCAUAUCAGUAAUAAUAAAAAACAGCAUUUGUCUUGAUUCAAGACUUAAGGAGGCACAGAUAGUGAUGAUCUUGCAGAGGCAAUGCCAGAUGUUAGAAGGACCACUGAAAAUGGAGUAAAAUGAAGAGUUAGUCGCCUCUCUGCAGCCAUAACAUCUUCCUCUCUUCUGAUAAGACUUUGUAAAGAUGUAGUCUGGGGAAAGUUUUGUUCUGUCCAUUGGUGAAGUGUGCGGUCACUAAUGUUGCACCUGAGAGAGUGGAUUGGUCCACUCUUCCAGGUCUUGUGUUUUUAUUGUGAUGUUCUUAUGUGUCUCCAGUUUAACCUUCACCUUUUUCUCAGAAGACCACAAACACACUGAGGAGGUACCCACCCUUCCCCUCAAACAGUGUCCCUUUUUCCAAUCCAAGUGAAUUAACACCCCAGUCCUCUUCAGCACCCGCUGUUCCGCCUCAUAAAGGCGUGUCCUCUAACCGGGUAGAACAUCUCGAUGAAGGUGAGGGGCCCCACUGUGAUCUCGCUGGGGCCCUGGACCUUGAAGCCUGACUUCUGGUAGAAGGGGACAAGGAAGUCCUCGCACAUGAGGACAGCCCGGCGGACAUAGGGCAAGCAGCGGAGGUACUGCAAGUAGCGCCACAUCAGGAUGGAGCCUUUGCCCUGUUGGCGGAAGGUGCGGUGGACUGCCAGGACGUGGAUGUGGACUGUCAUGCCGUGGGGCAUGUGGAGAGUCAAAGCGUCCUAGAAAAUGGUGACAGUGAUCCGAUGAUGAAAGCCACCAGACGUCCCUCCUCGAACCAUCCCAGUGACAGCUCGGGACACAAAGUCAGGAAGUGUCGUACUUCGUCCAGCAGGAGAGGACACUCGCCAGAAACGGAUAUGAACGCUGCAAGGACCGUAAGGAAUACAUCAAUACUGACUCUACCCGUGUAUUGUGUAUAUUGCUUGUUACCUUCUCUCUCUAUCUCAAACACGCUGAUGGCAUCUUCUGGGCUGAGGGAGCGGAACUCGCUGGCCGGCAGCGUGUGUCGACGUCCCUGUGCCACCGGGGAGCGCAUGUGGAGCGGCUUCAGAAAGGACACUGCACUCACCACUGACAUUUUUUUCUAAUUUACCCUCCAAUAAGAAUCUUUUUGAACUGAGCUUGGACUGCUUUCUUUUUGCACCUGAUGGCUGGCCGCGUGCGUGAAGACUGAGCAACAGAAAGACGCAUCAGGAGCUUUUAUAGCUUCACGGAGACGCACCUUGACCGCUUGGUAAUCCUUGCAGCCAGCUGGAUAACCAAACUCUCCAACUCGUGAGGGAGCUGAACAAUAAUCAUAUUUACUCAGGCUCGUGAGGGUGUGUGUGUGUGGUGUGACUUAUCCUGGUCAUGCCACCAACAUGACCACUGCAUCACAUUUGGAUUUGGUACCACAUGUGAUGGAGAUUCAUGUAGACGACAUGUGAAUCAGCCCUUUUAUGUUGGAAAAGGAACCACAUUUGGUCACCCAAAAUGCUUCACUGUAACGCCUGUGCCACCGUCAAAUUUACUACCCUCUCGGCACCUUUUGUGGCAAAAAAUGUGCUUGUACAAAAACUUGUAUUGCAGAAAUAACCAAAAAAAACCCCAGCAAAAAUAGGCACAAUGUAAAGAGAAAUAGCAAGAGCUAAGUGCUUUGCCUUUACAGACACACACAGACACACAUACAGUCAUGUGAAAAAAUUAGGACACCCCAUUAAAUAUUCAGUUCUUUAUUAAGAAAUGUUCACAUAUCAAUGUCUGAUCUUGGUUUUCUUUAUCUCUGGAAAAGAAAGUGAUUUAAUUGCAGGUAAACAACAAAAUUUAACAUUGUUUUACUUAUUAAACAAAAUAUAUCAACAAAAAUGCCUAUUCUAACUGAGGAAAAAGUUAGGACACCCUACCACCUAAUAGCUAGUGUUACCCCCUUUGGCUGAAAUAACUUCAGUGAGAUGCUUUUUGUAGCCAUCUACCAGUCUUUGACAUCGGUCUGAAGAAAGUUUGCCCCACUCCUCAAUGCAGAAUACUUUCAGCUGUGAGAUGUUUGAGGGGUUUCUUGCAUGUACAGCCCGUUUCAAGUCACCCCACAGCAUCUCAAUGGGAUUAAGAUCUGGGCUUUGACUCGGCCAUUCCAGGACUCUCCAUUUCUUCCUUUUCAGCCAGUCCUUGGUGGAUUUACUGGGAUGUUUUGGGUCAUUGUCAUGUUGCAGGGUCCAGUUUCGCUUUAGCUUUAAUUUUUUCACAGAUGAUCUCACAUGUUCCUCAAGCACCCUUUGAUACACGAUAGAAUUCAUGGUGGAUUCUAUGAUGGUGAGCUAGCCAGGUCCUGCUGCAGCAAAGCAUCCCCAAACCAUGACACUUCCACCUCCAUGCUUCACAGUUGGUAUGAGGUUCUUUUCCUGGAAUGCUGUAUUGGGUUUACGCCAAACAUGUCCUCUGUUCUGGUGUCCAAAUAAUUCAAUUUUAGAUUCAUCUGUCUAAAGAACAUUAUUCCAGAAGUCCUGGUCUUUGUCUACAUUCACUCUGGCAAAGGUUUCCUCCUUGCACACCUCCCAUGAAGGUUAAACUUUUGAAGUCUCUUUCUGAUUGGAGAGGCAAGCACUUUCACAUCAACAGUAGCAAGAGCCUGCUGUAGGUCCCGUGAUGACAUUUUAGGGUUUGGAGACUUCUUUUAGCAUCUUGCAGUCUGCUCUCGGGGUGAACUUGCUUGGACGGCCAGACCUGGGCAUGUUGGCAGUUGUUUUCAAUCUCCUCCACUUGUAGACUAUUUUCCGGAUAGUGAAAUGGCUGAUUUUAUAUUCUUUUUCGAUCUUUUUAAAUCCCUUACCAGACUCAUAAGCGUCUACAAUCUUCUUUCUGAAGGCCUCAGACAGCUCCUUUGAUCUCACCGUGGUGUUUUCUCUCACUUCAACAGUCAUGGGCACACCAAACUAAACGUGAGGUUUAAAUGAGGCAAGCCUCCUUCAAAUUACUGGGUAAUGAUGUUCUAAUCAUGUGCACCUGAUCUGAUACACUUGUGUUUGAUUUUAGCCAUUUUAAGUGGGAUUGAAUGUGGGGGUGUCCUAAUUUAUUCUUCAACAGAAAUUGCAUUUAUUUAAAAUUACAUUUUACAGAAAGUUAUAAAAAAUCAUUUUUUCAGUUUCAUUUGUUUAGUUCUAUUACUUGAAUCUCUCAAGAUUGUUAAAAUUGAUAUUAAAUAUCCAUAUGACCAAAUAUGUUAGAAAACACACAGGCUUCCUUGGGGUGUCCUAAUUUUUUCACAUGACUAUAUUAGGGCUGUCAAAUGAUUACAAAUUUUAGUCACAUUAAUCGUAGUUUGAAAUUAAUUAAUCAUGAUUACUCACCAUUAACAAAUAUGUCUGAAAUAUACCCAUUUUUACUGUAUUUAAUUAACAGGAAGAUAAAUGACAGGACAGGGUUAUACAGUAUAUACACUCCUGAUUACAACCUUAAGACCAGUUGAAAAAUUGCUAGAAUUUGCAUUUUGCACAUUUGGUUCUUGAUGAGGUUUUAAGUAGAGCUACAAUAUGCAAAAACAAGAAGGGGGAGUGAGACAAAAAGCAUUUUGAAAAAGUAAUUUAUUGAAAACAACAAUUAAACUGAAAUAGGCUGUUGAUAGCAAAAAUACCAAAAAACUCUCCAAACCAGAACAAAAAAUGUUCCCAGUAGGACUCAGUAAUGAGUAGCUCCACCGUUCUUGUUAAUCACUUCAAAAUGGGUUUGGGCAUGCUUGAUGCAAGUGUUUCCAGGAGGCUAGUGGGAUCAUUGCUCCAAAUGGUGAAGAUGGCUUCACAAAGGGUAUCAACUGUCUGGAACUGAUGGCCAUUUUUAUAAACUUCCCUUGCCAUCCAUCCCCAAAUGUUCUCUAUGGGAUUUAAAUGAGGGGAACAUGCAGGAUGGUCCAAAAGAGUGAUGUUAUUCUCCCUGAAGAAGUCCUUGGUCAAGCGAGCAUUGUGAGCUGCAGUGUUGUCCUGUUGAAAAACCCAGCUGUUACCACACAGACGAGGGCCCUCCGUCAUGAGGGAUGCUCGCUGCAACAUCUGCACAUAAGCACCCGCCGUUUAACGACCCCGCACCAGCUGAAGCUCCAGUGUUCCACUGAAUGAAAAAGCACCCCAGAUCAUGAUGGACCGCCCUCCACUGUCUGAUGGUUAUUGCGCUGCAGUCGGCACCAGUAAGGGCUUUCAUUUGGUUCGAAGACCACCCUGUGUCUUGAUGGACAGCCAAUUGGAUCCUCCGGCUCAGCGCAGGUGUGAUUUUUUUGGGGGGGUCUACCACUUGACCUUUUUGUUCCAUAAUGCUCAGGAUCUUUCACAAAAUGUAGAAUAACUGAUUUACAGCACCCAACCUCGGCUGCAUUGGCACACUGCGAGAGGCCUUGGUUAUGCAGCUCCACAAUCCCACCACGUUCAAAAAGAGAAAGCUUCUUAGCUUUAGCCAUCAGGAGGGCAUGACAGUGUGAGUCCACAUCAGGGAGUGCUUGAAAAAUAGCGAAGGCUUCAAGAGCAGUGUACAUCUUCCUUGACUGCCUGGCUGCCAUUUUGGUGUUUGUUUUCUCGACCUGAAGUCGUGUCUGUUUUUAUGGGUCAGAAUAUCACACCUACAUCCACGGACGUAUACACCCAUCUUCCUUUGUUUAGAGCAGAGGACAUUUCAGAAUGUUAACUGGCUCGUCUGCGAGACAAAGGCGGCUGUUGAUGUGCUGUUAAGUGUAGUGGGGGAUUUUUGCCGCAUAUUAAGGCAGUAGCAACAUGAUAUUGUUUUGUCAUUUGUGGUAUAUUGCAUUGGAUUUAAUAGAAAUAUAUAAAUAUCAGUGCCCUCAACACCAAGAGAGCAACCAACAGGCAAGCAUUUUGUCCACAGAACACGCCCGUACGCCUCGCCCCUAUCCAGGUAGCAACCCGCGAGCCCCAGCAAGGAGCCCAGUCCCCCAAACCCGGCCGAGACCAGGGAUCUUGGUCUCAAAAGCUUGGUGGCCACUAACAUAGACUACCAUGACUACAACAUGACUGCAAAGUGCCUGUUGUGAGCAUGCAUAUAUAUUGUAUGUGUCUACAAGACAAAAAUCAUAAUUCGUAAGUGUGGAAAAUAUAUACUUUUUUGUUCAAUCUGUUCUUUCAAACUACUAUUGGGCAACCAAUGCUAGCCGGCGGUGGUGGUCUAUUUUUUGGUUGACAAGAAUAUCACCUUCAGCCAGUCGCAAUCAUCCAUCCAUCCAUCCAUCCAUCCAUCCGUUUUCCAUGCCGCUUAACCUAAUUAGGGUCUUGCUGUUGACUUCGGGCGAGAGGCGGUGUACACCCUGGACUGGCAGUCUCAAUCAGUCCUAUUAAUAUGGAAUCUAUUAUGUUGCUACUGCUGCCAUCAGGUGGUCAAGUUAUAUUACUACAACUAUCAGACCCAUACAGGCUUUACUGUAUGGACAAAUCCCAGGAAAGAUUGUUUUACAAAUCAAAAUUGUAUAGUUUUGUUUUGUUAGUCACCACUAACAUACUAAGAUGUGUUUCUAAAAUAUUUGGUUAUGUUAUUAAGCAUCAAGAUGCUGGUGAGACAGCGUGAUUAUUGCACAGGUGUGCCUUAGGUUGGUCAAAAUAAAAGGCCCCUGCAGAAUGUGCAGUUUAACUGUAUAGGUGAGGUGACCAUCAUUUGGACUGCCAUUCACGGACCCUGGUUUGAGCACGGGUGGAAUGCAGAGCUGUAUGGACCAAGUGGGUACACCUAUGUACUCAAAGUAGGAAGAGGGCCGGUAAUACUUUUGAACACGAGCGCCCCCUUCCAGCCAUUCUCUGUGACAUGCAGCAGCUUUAAGAGGCAAACAGUUAUUUAAUGUUCAAACAGCAGUUCUAUUAAAGCAAAUGUGUUUUAGCAAGCACUAAGUGUCUGCCAGCCAAUUUUUCUUUUACCUUUUUUCUUCUUGUCUUUCAUUUGUUUUUCAUUUUUCCUUUUUUCUUCACCUUUUCCUCCUCUAUUUUCCCCCACGCUUUUCCCCAAUUUUUCCUUUUUUCCUACUCCCAUUUUUCCCUUCUCUUUUCCCUUUUCCUCUCCUCUC